UACGUAGGCAGCGAGCGUUGUUCGGAAUUACUGGGCGUAAAGAGUGUGUAGGCGGUGCUCUAAGUUUGGUGUGAAAUCUCCCGGCUUAACUGGGAGGGUGCAUCGAAAACUGGAAUGCUAGAGGGUGGGAGAGGUAAGCGGAAUUCCUGGUGUAGCGGUGAAAUGCGUAGAUAUCAGGAGGAACACCUGUGGUGUAGACAGCUUACUGGACCACUUCUGACGCUGAGACACGAAAGCGUGGGUAGCAAACAGG
rnacentral:rRNA from 1 species